rnacentral:rRNA from 1 species
CCUACGGGAGGCUGCAGUGGGGAAUUUUGGACAAUGGGCGAAAGCCUGAUCCAGCCAUUCCGCGUGAGUGAAGAAGGCCUUCGGGUUGUAAAGCUCUUUCGCAAGGGAAGAAAACUUAGUUACUAAUAUUAACUGAGGUUGACGGUACCUUGAUAAGAAGCACCGGCUAACUACGUGCCAGCAGCCGCGGUAAUACGUAGGGUGCGAGCGUUAAUCGGAAUUACUGGGCGUAAAGCGUGCGCAGGCGGUUUUGUAAGUCAGAUGUGAAAUCCCCGAGCUCAACUUGGGAACUGCGUUUGAAACUACAAGACUAGAAUAUGUCAGAGGGGGGUAGAAUUCCACGUGUAGCAGUGAAAUGCGUAGAGAUGUGGAGGAAUACCAAUGGCGAAGGCAGCCCCCUGGGAUAAUAUUGACGCUCAUGCACGAAAGCGUGGGGAGCAAACAGGAUUAGAUACCCGGGUAGUC